rnacentral:antisense_RNA from 1 species
UUGACGGUGUAGCCCCAGGAGCCGGUGUCGUCGGCCAGUGUGUGCGCUCCCACGUAUUCGCCGUCGGCGAGAACGUCGAGCACGGUGUCCUCGCCGUACUCGCCGGGGCCGAUCCGGUUGGCCUUGCCGUGUGCCAUCAGCACCACCCGGUCGGCCGGACCGCCCCGUUCGACGAUCACGUCUCCCGGGACGUGCUCCUCCUGGACGAACCGGUCGGCCAGCGCGGCCAGCGCCGACUCGUCGUCGAACCCGCGCAGCAGCGGAAGUUCCCGCAGCUCCUGCGGGAUCACCCGUACCUCGGCACCGGUGUUGACGAAGGUCAACCGACCGUCACCGAGCAAAUAGGUCAGUCGGCGAUUGACGCGGUACACACCGCCGUUGGAUUGCACCCAGGGCAGCAUCCGCAGCAACCACCGCGAGGAGAUCCCCUGCAUCUGCGGCGCCGACUUGGUCGUCGUCGCCAAAUUGCGGGCGGCGUCGGUUCCCAGACUCGACUGUGCGUACG